UUAGAGUUUGAUCCUGGCUCAGGAUGAACGCUAGCGGCAGGCUUAACACAUGCAAGUCGAGGGGCAGCAUGUCCAGCAAUGGAUGAUGGCGACCGGCGGAAGGGUGCGUAACGCGUGAGCAACAUGCCCUAUACAGGGAGAUACACCAGGGAAACUUGGUCUAAUAUCCCAUAGCAUUCAUUGAAGGCAUCUUUAAUGAAUUAAAGCUUCGGUGGUAUAGGAUUGGCUCGCGUGACAUUAGCCAGAUGGUGAGGUAACGGCUCACCAUAGCAAUGAUGUCUAGGGGUUUUGGGAGGAAGGCCCCCCACACUGGGACUGAGACACGGCCCAGACCCCUACGGGAGGCAGCAGUGAGGAAUAUUGGACAAUGGAUGGAAAUCUGAUCCAGCCAUGCCGCGUGCAGGAAGACGGCCUUAUGGGUUGUAAACUGCUUUUAUACGGGAGCAAUAAGGGUUACGAGUAAUCCGAUGAGAGUACUGUAUGAAUAAGGAUCGGCUAACUCCGUGCCAGCAGCCGCGGUAAUACGGAGGAUCCGAGCGUUAUCCGGAAUUAUUGGGUUUAAAGGGUGCGUAGGCGGCCACUUAAGUCAGCGGUGAAAUUUUGCAGCUUAACUGUAACAGUGCCGUUGAUACUGUUUGGCUAGGAUUUGGUUGUAGUGUGCGGAAUGUGUGGUGUAGCGGUGAAAUGCUUAGAUAUCACACAGAACACCGAUUGCGAAGGCAGCACACUAAGUCAUUAUUGACGCUGAGGCACGAAAGUGUGGGGAUCAAACAGGAUUAGAUACCCUGGUAGUCCACACUGUAAACGAUGAUAACUCGCUGUCGGCGAUACACAGUAGGUGGGCAAGCGAAAGCAAUAAGUUAUCCACCUGGGGAGUACGACCGCAAG
rnacentral:rRNA from 1 species